GACGAACGCUGGCGGCGUGCUUAGCACAUGCAAGUCGAGCGGUAAGGCCUUUCGGGGUACACGAGCGGCGAACGGGUGAGCAACACGUGGGUGAUCUGCCCUGCACUUCGGGAUAAGCCUGGGAAACUGGGUCUAAUACCGGAUAUGACCUCCUAUCGCAUGGUGGGUGGUGGAAAGAUUUAUCGGUGCCGGAUGGGCCCGCGGCCUAUCAGCUUGUUGGUGGGGUAAUGGCCUACCAAGGCGACGACGGGUAGCCGACCUGAGAGGGUGACCGGCCACACUGGGACUGAGACACGGCCCAGACUCCUACGGGAGGCAGCAGUGGGGAAUAUUGCACAAUGGGCGGAAGCCUGAUGCAGCGACGCCGCGUGAGGGAUGACGGCCUUCGGGUUGUAAACCUCUUUCAGCAGGGACGAAGCGCAAGUGACGGUACCUGCAGAAGAAGCACCGGCUAACUACGUG
rnacentral:rRNA from 1 species